AGCGAACGCUGGCGGCAUGCCUAACACAUGCAAGUCGAACGAGACCUUCGGGUCUAGUGGCGCACGGGUGCGUAGCGCGUGGGAAUCUGCCCUUGGGUUCGGAAUAACAGUUGGAAACGACUGCUAAUACCGGAUGAUGACGUAAGUCCAAAGAUUUAUCGCCCAAGGAUGAGCCCGCGUAGGAUUAGCUAGUUGGUGAGGUAAAGGCUCACCAAGGCGACGAUCCUUAGCUGGUCUGAGAGGAUGAUCAGCCACACUGGGACUGAGACACGGCCCAGACUCCUACGGGAGGCAGCAGUGGGGAAUAUUGGACAAUGGGCGAAAGCCUGAUCCAGCAAUGCCGCGUGAGUGAUGAAGGCCUUAGGGUUGUAAAGCUCUUUUACCCGGGAUGAUAAUGACAGUACCGGGAGAAUAAGCUCCGGCUAACUCCGUG
rnacentral:rRNA from 1 species